UACAGAGGUCCCAAGCGUUGUUCGGAUUCAUUGGGCGUAAAGGGUGCGUAGGUGGCGCCGUAAGUCGGGUGUGAAAUUUCGGAGCUUAACUCCGAAACUGCAUUCGAUACUGCCGUGCUUGAGGACUGGAGAGGAGACUGGAAUUUACGGUGUAGCGGUGAAAUGCGUAGAUAUCGUAAGGAAGACCAGUGGCGAAGGCGGGUCUCUGGACAGUUCCUGACGCUGAGGCACGAAGGCCAGGGGAGCAAACGGG
rnacentral:rRNA from 1 species